UACGUAGGUGGCAAGCGUUGUCCGGAUUUACUGGGCGUAAAGAGCGCGCAGGCGGUCGUUCAAGUCGCGUGUGAAAGCCCCCCGGCUCAACUGGGGAGGGUCACGCGAUACUGAUCGACUCGAAGGCAGGAGAGGGUAGUGGAAUUCCUGGUGUAGCGGUGAAAUGCGUAGAUAUCAGGAGGAACACCGGUGGUGUAGACGGCUUUCUGGACCGUAACUGACGCUGAGACACGAAAGCGUGGGUAGCAAACAGG
rnacentral:rRNA from 1 species